rnacentral:rRNA from 1 species
GAGUUUGAUCGUGGCUCAGAUUGAACGCUGGCGGCAGGCCUAACACAUGCAAGUCGAGCGGAUGACGGGAGCUUGCUCCUUGAUUCAGCGGCGGACGGGUGAGUAAUGCCUAGGAAUCUGCCUGGUAGUGGGGGACAACGUUUCGAAAGGAACGCUAAUACCGCAUACGUCCUACGGGAGAAAGCAGGGGACCUUCGGGCCUUGCGCUAUCAGAUGAGCCUAGGUCGGAUUAGCUAGUUGGUGGGGUAAUGGCUCACCAAGGCGACGAUCCGUAACUGGUCUGAGAGGAUGAUCAGUCACACUGGAACUGAGACACGGUCCAGACUCCUACGGGAGGCAGCAGUGGGGAAUAUUGGACAAUGGGCGAAAGCCUGAUCCAGCCAUGCCGCGUGUGUGAAGAAGGUCUUCGGAUUGUAAAGCACUUUAAGUUGGGAGGAAGGGCAGUAAGUUAAUACCUUGCUGUUUUGACGUUACCGACAGAAUAAGCACCGGCUAACUCUGUGACAGCAG